rnacentral:rRNA from 1 species
GAGUUGCGAACGGGUGAGUAACGCGUAGGUAACCUGCCUCAUAGCGGGGGAUAACUAUUGGAAACGAUAGCUAAUACCGCAUAAGAGUGAUUAACACAUGUUAGUUAUUUAAAAGGAGCAAUUGCUUCACUGUGAGAUGGACCUGCGUUGUAUUAGCUAGUUGGUGAGGUAAAGGCUCACCAAGGCGACGAUACAUAGCCGACCUGAGAGGGUGAUCGGCCACACUGGGACUGAGACACGGCCCAGACUCCUACGGGAGGCAGCAGUAGGGAAUCUUCGGCAAUGGACGGAAGUCUGACCGAGCAACGCCGCGUGAGUGAAGAAGGUUUUCGGAUCGUAAAGCUCUGUUGUUAGAGAAGAACGUUGGUAGGAGUGGAAAAUCUACCAAGUGACGGUAACUAACCAGAAAGGGACGGCUAACUACGUGCCAGCAGCCGCGGUAAUACGUAGGUCCCGAGCGUUGUCCGGAUUUAUUGGGCGUAAAGCGAGCGCAGGCGGUUCUUUAAGUCUGAAGUUAAAGGCAGUGGCUUAACCAUUGUACGCUUUGGAAACUGGAGGACUUGAGUGCAGAAGGGGAGAGUGGAAUUCCAUGUGUAGCGGUGAAAUGCGUAGAUAUAUGGAGGAACACCGGUGGCGAAAGCGGCUCUCUGGUCUGUAACUGACGCUGAGGCUCGAAAGCGUGGGGAGCAAACAGGAUUAGAUACCCUGGUAGUCCACGCCGUAAACGAUGAGUGCUAGGUGUUAGGCCCUUUCCGGGGCUUAGUGCCGCAGCUAACGCAUUAAGCACUCCGCCUG